CCCUCGGUGCUCAUCAGGUA
rnacentral:misc_RNA from 1 species